rnacentral:tRNA from 1 species
CGGGGUGUAGCGCAGUCCGGUUAGCGCGCGUCGUUCGGGACGACGAGGCCGUAGGUUCGAAUCCUAUCACCCCGA